rnacentral:rRNA from 1 species
GACGAACGCUGGCGGCGUGCUUAACACAUGCAAGUCGAACGGAAAGGCCCUGCUUUUGUGGGGUGCUCGAGUGGCGAACGGGUGAGUAACACGUGAGUAACCUGCCCUUGACUUUGGGAUAACUUCAGGAAACUGGGGCUAAUACCGGAUAGGAGCUCCUGCUGCAUGGUGGGGGUUGGAAAGUUUCGGCGGUUGGGGAUGGACUCGCGGCUUAUCAGCUUGUUGGUGGGGUAGUGGCUUACCAAGGCUUUGACGGGUAGCCGGCCUGAGAGGGUGACCGGCCACAUUGGGACUGAGAUACGGCCCAGGCUCCUACGGGAGGCAGCAGUGGGGAAUAUUGCACAAUGGGCGGAAGCCUGAUGCAGCAACGCCGCGUGCGGGAUGACGGCCUUCGGGCUGUAAACCGCUUUCGCCUGUGACGAAGCGUGAGUGACGGUAAUGGGUAAAGAAGCACCGGCUAACUACGUG